rnacentral:misc_RNA from 1 species
GCCUGCAUACAGAUCUUUCAUCAAGCGCUUCGGGCUCAUGGUUGAGAGCGGUAAGAACCCCCAAAAGUAUAUCAGGUACUCGGCUGAAGAUCUUGAACGUAUGCUUGGUGAAUUUUUCGAGGGUAAGACGUUGAAUGAGCCAAAACGAUGAACCUCUGACUAAAAAAGCUAGCUGCAUCUUCCACACUUUUUCUGUGCUGAUACACGACAUAGUUCUUCCGUCAACGUUGAUGGCUUUGUUAAGGUUUAUCAUGUGUGAGAUCUGCAGGUUGCAACAAAAGUUUGAGGAAAUAAAAUGUGACAAAAGUAUAUAGGAUAUAUGACAACAGUAAAAUGCAGUGUUUUUUUCUUAUAGUUCAAGUAUUUAACAUGACAUGUUAAGUUUGUACAGAAAAAAUAUCAUUCUUAUUCCAUCAUAUGACAUUUGAGGACAAAGAGUAA